rnacentral:misc_RNA from 1 species
AGGUGAACCUGCGGAAGGAUCAUUAACAAAUGCAUGAUAGAUUGAUAACGUAUUAAUCUAACAUAAGUGCUCCGGGUUUACUCGGUUGCAUCAUAUAUAUAUUCAUGAUAUUGUGAUUAUAGUGUAUAUUUAAAUAUAAAGAACACUUUUAACAAUGGAUCUCUUGGCUCUUG